rnacentral:rRNA from 1 species
GACGAACGCUGGCGGCGUGCCUAAUACAUGCAAGUAGAACGCUGAAGGAGGAGCUUGCUUCUCUGGAUGAGUUGCGAACGGGUGAGUAACGCGUAGGUAACCUGCCUGGUAGCGGGGGAUAACUAUUGGAAACGAUAGCUAAUACCGCAUAAGAGUAGAUGUUGCAUGACAUUUGCUUAAAAGGUGCAAUUGCAUCACUACCAGAUGGACCUGCGUUGUAUUAGCUAGAUGGUGGGGUAACGGCUUACCAAGGCGACGAUACAUAGCCGACCUGGGAGGGUGAUCGGCCACACUGGGACCGAGACACGGCCCAGACUCCUACGGGAGGCAGCAGUAGGGGAUCUUCGGCAAUAGACGGAAGUCUGACCGAGCAACGCCGCGGGAGUGAAGGAGGUUUUCGGAUCGUAAAGCUCUGUUGUAAGAGAAGAACGAGUGUGAGAGUGGAAAGUUCACACUGUGACGGUAUCUUACCAGAAAGGGACGGCUAACUACGUG